UAGGAAUGUACUGGGCAACAUGAUUAAUUAACACUGCUCUGUGUUAUAUAUGAAAGUUGUUAAGAGAGUAAUUCCUAAGAGUUCUUAUCACAAGGAAAAAUAUUUCUUUUAUUUUUCUUUUAUUAUGUAUCUGG